AUGUUGCAACCAAUGGCGACGAGGGCCGCAGAACGCCCACGAGAUGCAGCUUCAACGGUGACGGCGGGGUUGCGAGCACGUCGACGACGAGACGAGCGAGGAGCAGCGUCCUCUUCACGGGAGGGUAGACACAGGGGGAGGGGGGAUCGAUCGGUGCAGCGGGGCGGCCGGCGACGAAUCAACCGGCGACGAGGACGGCGACUGGCGACCGGAGGCGAGGAUGGCGACCGACGGCAACGAGGAUGGCGACCGGCGACCGGAGGCGAGGACGGCGACUGGCGACCGGGGGCGAGGAUGGCGACCUGCGGCGAGCUGGUGAUGCUUCAAGGUCAGCCCUCUAAGAGUCCAUGA
rnacentral:rRNA from 1 species